rnacentral:rRNA from 1 species
GUCUACAGCCAUAUCACCCUGAACAUGCCCGGUCUCUUCUGAUCUCAGAAGCUAAGCAGGGUCAGCCCUGGUCAGUACUUGGAUGGGAGACUGCCUGGGAAUACCAGAUGCUUUAGGCU